rnacentral:tRNA from 1 species
UCCACAGUAGCUCAGUGGUAGAGCUAUCGGCUGUUAACCGAUAGGUCGUAGGUUCGAGUCCUACCUGUGGAGCCA